UGCUUUCUCGAGCGAGUGGCGAACGGGUGAGUAACGCGUGAGGAACCUGCCUCAAAGAGGGGGACAACAGUUGGAAACGACUGCUAAUACCGCAUAAGCCCACGGGUCGGCAUCGACCAGAGGGAAAAGGAGCAAUCCGCUUUGAGAUGGCCUCGCGUCCGAUUAGCUAGUUGGUGAGGUAAUGGCCCACCAAGGCGACGAUCGGUAGCCGGACUGAGAGGUUGAACGGCCACAUUGGGACUGAGACACGGCCCAGACUCCUACGGGAGGCAGCAGUGGGGAAUAUUGCACAAUGGGGGAAACCCUGAUGCAGCGACGCCGCGUGGAGGAAGAAGGUCUUCGGAUUGUAAACUCCUGUUGUUGAGGAAGAUAAUGACGGUACUCAACAAGGAAGUGACGGCUAACUACGUGCCAGCAGCCGCGGUAAAACGUAGGUCACAAGCGUUGUCCGGAAUUACUGGGUGUAAAGGGAGCGCAGGCGGGAAGACAAGUUGGAAGUGAAAUCUAUGGGCUCAACCCAUAAACUGCUUUCAAAACUGUUUUCCUUGAGUAGUGCAGAGGUAGGCGGAAUUCCUAGUGUAGCGGUGAAAUGCGUAGAUAUUAGGAGGAAC
rnacentral:rRNA from 1 species